rnacentral:rRNA from 1 species
GACGGAGGGUGCAAGCGUUGCUCGGAAUCACUGGGCGUAAAGGGCGCGUAGGCGGGAUGGCAAGUCGGUCGUGAAAUCCUUCGGCUCAACCGAAGAACGUCGGCCGAUACUGCUGUUCUUGAGGGAUGCAGAGGAGAUUGGAAUUCCCGGUGUAGCGGUGAAAUGUGUAGAGAUCGGGAGGAACACCGGUGGCGAAGGCGGGUCUCUGGGCAUCUCCUGACGCUGAGGCGCGAAAGCGUGGGGAGCGAACAGG